rnacentral:rRNA from 1 species
UACGUAAGUGGCGAGCGUUAUCCGGAAUUACUGGGCGUAGAGCGUGUGUAGGCGGUUUAGUGUGUGGGAAUUGAAAGCCCGGGGCUCAACUCCGGAUCCGGUUCCCAAACUGCUAGACUCGAGAGUAUCAGAGGAGAGCGGAAUUCCCGGUGUAGCGGUAAUAUGCGUAGAUAUCAGGAGGAACACCGGUGGCGAAGGCGGUUCUCUGGGCAUGUCCUGACGCUGAGGAGCGAAAGUGUGGGGAGCGAACAGG